AUCUUUUUGUGGUUCAUAAGCAUGAUGAUUGGGUCUUCACACAAACGUUUAAGAUGUGCCUCCCUCACAUCUUAUACGUGAGGGAGGCACAUCUUAAAUUCAGCGUAUUUCCUGUCUGAAG
rnacentral:snoRNA from 1 species